GAUCAGGAGCCGUACGGAGCUGCGGAGCCAGGACCCCGCGAUCGAUAACACCGCAAAACCAGAGCCGGCAGAAAUGAUAUUUACCAUUGGCUUUUUAACUUCUUGUUGACAGGCUCUUACCAAUGACAGCUCUUCCUCGUUCUCCUCUUUCUAUCCCCUUCCAAGAUUUAAUACUGUUUUACCAUUUUAAUGAAGGACGUGAUUCUACAAAUAUUUACAAGCCGGCAUAGGAUGUAGCGCUCGCUGUGAAUCAGCAAGCCCCAGAUCCACGUACAAAUCCCUGCACAAGCGUGGGUAAACCACGGCACCGUUCACAUCACCGCCACGUAAAAUGGUAGCUUUAAAUCCUCCUGCUUACGCUGCUUUCCCAAAUCUUGGAAACUCAACCAAAAAUCCAUCUGGGGCGAGAUUUUGUAUGACGGUCCUCAGCAUAGAAGCCUGGCUUUCUUUUCAUUACGUUAAAACAAAAGUUAUUUAGUUUGGCCCUCUCCGUAUCUUACAGUGUUAACAAAAAUAGAUGCUUGUUGCUUUAAUAAAGGUUUUGAUUUGGAAAUUAUUUACCGUUUAGACUUCGUACGCUCUAAUUGCUUUUGAUUCUUCAGAAUAUAUAUAUAAUGGAAAGCAGCUGAAAGACCGGGGUUUAAAAAUGGGCUCUUGCACAUUUGAAGUAAAUUUUAUCCUGCAAUCAGUCGUAAAGAUCUUAACUGCAGCUAUCACAUAUCCUAAAUAUGUAAUUGCUGUGGAGCCUUUCCAGUCUAUUGGUUACAGGACGCUAGAAAAAUGGGAAAGCGACUACAAACGUAGGCCCUGAUCUCUGCGAGUAUUUUCGGGGAAACUCGGCGGGACUGGUCAUCGGCCUAAAAUCUCGUAUGUACGUUUCUUCUAGGAUGGAGCCUUGAAUGAGAUUGUGCGGGGACAUAAACGAAUCAUUUCAGUUGCCUGGAGGAGCUCGCUGAGUUAAAUAGAAGCUGCUCUGGUGAGUAAAAUGAUGAAUUGUCUGGGUUUGGGGACCGGACCCUUGGCUGAAGGGCAUUCCCCGCCCAGCCCCGUGUGCUCCCCGGCUCCUGGGGGGGAAGGUCUCACGUUUUCAACGUGCCUCCAUCUACACGUGGAUCCGCCCUAAAAAUCAGUGGCGAUUUUGGUACGUGGAUGCAGGCCCAAUAGGACCGGGUGCUCUAGUCUGCUCUGCCUGAACCUAUGGAAUUGCUACUUAAAACAAAGAAGGAAAAAGUUAAAAUACUUAUUGUUGAGGGACUUUAAAAGCAUCUUGAUCAAAUGUAGUCUAGGUACGGAUUGACUGGUCCAUAUUCGGAAUGCUCUAUAAAGACCACUCUGAAGUGCGAUAGCAUCUCUGCUCACUUGCUUUCAAGUGAACCCCUCCUAUGGUCGUGGCCCUCUCUGGAGAGGAGGAGAGCACAGCUUGAGAAUAUUUGAAAUUUAACUCCGAAGGAAGCCUCAGGUUUCAUAUAAUAACAUAAAAAGCAAAGGAGAUUCAGCCUCAAAAAUUGUUGAAGGUGUUUAACACUCUCCAUUAAAAUCACAAAAGCGGUGUAAUUCAUUGUUAUCAGAGAAAUGCUUUCUUUCAACCCUUUCUUCUUUAAAAGACCGCGUGAGAUAUUUCAGUACUAAAUUAGUAUCUUCCAUUAGUGUGCAUGGCUGCUAAGUACACACCAUAAAUUCUUCAUACUGGGAGACACGUGUGUGCAAAGCCUGCAAAGGCAAGGCCACUUCGGUCCUCGAAGCAGAGCUGAGGCAGAAGCUGCUGUAAGCCCAGAGGUUUGCAGAGGCUGCUGAGAUUGAUGCUCGAUGGUGGGCAGCUUACGUAAAGCCUGGGUACGCCCGUUCUGGAUUUACUUUAUUGUAAUGAAGACCAAAUUUGGAGUCUCUCAGUCUUAUGAUUAUACCCCGUGCUUCUUUCCACCCCCUCUUGAGUUCUUUCUCUAAUAAUUUCCGAAACUCAGGAGAUAACCCGAUGCGGAACCGUGAAGCUGAAGUUUCUCUUCCUGCCCUUGGCUUGGUGGGACUUUCGGAUGUGGAGCAUCCCCAGCCGCUCCGCUCCGCUCCGUCCGGGAUGCGCUCAGCACCCCGAGGCCUCUCCACGCAGGCGAUGUAUGACGGGCAGCAAAGAAGACAACAGUGAUCUGUACUUAACAUUAGGUGGCACAAAAGAGUUUCCUUUUGCUCACAGGAAUACUGAAAUAUACGGGCAAUAACAAGCAGAGAUAUUCUUUUCUUUAAACGAAAUUCUCCUUCCCUGUUUUUUCCAGCUUCCAAGUAGUCUUUGAAGUACUUCUGUUUAUCAACUGACUCGAUUUUCUCUUUCAUUGCAUCUCUUUUGUCUUAACGUAAUUUGUUUUAAAAUAACACGUAACCCAGCCCUGGCUGCAGUUGUAUUUACAGAACAGCCACCGGGCUCUAAACCGGGCUAAUUUCAGUGCAACGCCUUCUGUCCUUCCUCCAAACCGAGGCUGGCUGCAAGAGCUUUACCUCUCAGGACCCUGAAGGUUAAGAGCCAGCGUGACCACGUAGGGUACGUUUUAACGUGAAGCUUUUCCUCCGUGUCCUUCGUUGGGGCCGUUUACGAACCGCGGCCAUUUACUCCUGGUCUGGUACCCGCGCUACUUGGUGCACGUUUAGUUUGUUUCUGGAGUUGACCGAGAAAUGUGACUUUUGGGGCUCUAUUUCCUUCUCCCGCUGUCGUAAUCCUUUCCGAAACGGUUGCAGGUUGUCGUCCCGCCGCGGAGGCAGCCGGGCUUUGCUGCCCCAGCGCAGGGGCAGGCUCAGGCCCGUUGCCCCCAAGCCGGCGGUUGUCUGCGCUGUGCUGCGGCUCGCAAAGAUUUACAAAAAAAUAAAUCACUUUUAUGGUUAAGAAACAAAGCGUCGCCCGCUGUUUACAUCCCAAAUCCCUCUUGCUAACAGGUACAGGAUUGUAUGUCAGUUGAAGGUGCCUGUCCGCUCCUGCUGCUGCUGGGUUAUUAAAGAGAAGAGAGCUCGCUCCUCGCUCGGGUCGCUUCUCAGGACUCCUAAAGCUUUUCAACAAAUCCAGCAUCUCCCUGUGACGCGGAAAUAAGCUCAGCGUGAACCAAAUGCGGGCGUUUUCUGUAUCCCUCCCCACCCCCCCGAAAUUCAUGAGACACCUCAUUCCUCUUCACUAUCGAAACAAAA